UGGGGAAUAUUGCACAAUGGGCGCAAGCCUGAUGCAGCCAUGCCGCGUGUGUGAAGAAGGCCUUCGGGUUGUAAAGCACUUUCAGCGAGGAGGAAGGUGGUGGACUUAAUACGUUCAUCAAUUGACGUUACUCGCAGAAGAAGCACCGGCUAACUCCGUGCCAGCAGCCGCGGUAAUACGGAGGGUGCAAGCGUUAAUCGGAAUUACUGGGCGUAAAGCGCACGCAGGCGGUUUGUUAAGUCAGAUGUGAAAUCCCCGGGCUCAACCUGGGAACUGCAUUUGAAACUGGCAAGCUAGAGUCUCGUAGAGGGGGGUAGAAUUCCAGGUGUAGCGGUGAAAUGCGUAGAGAUCUGGAGGAAUACCGGUGGCGAAGGCGGCCCCCUGGACGAAGACUGACGCUCAGGUGCGAAAGCGUGGGGCAGCAAACAGGAUUAGAUACCCUGGUAGUACACGCUGUAAACGAUGUCGAUUUUGGAGGUUGUGCCCUUGAGGCGUGGCUUCCGGAGCUAACGCGUUAAAUCGACCGCCU
rnacentral:rRNA from 1 species